rnacentral:rRNA from 1 species
UACGAAGGGUGCAAGCGUUACUCGGAAUUACUGGGCGUAAAGCGUGCGUAGGCGGUUCGUUAAGUCUGUUGUGAAAGCCCCGGGCUCAACCUGGGAAUGGCAAUGGAUACUGGCGAGCUAGAGUGUGUCAGAGGAUGGUGGAAUUCCCGGUGUAGCGGUGAAAUGCGUAGAGAUCGGGAGGAACAUCAGUGGCGAAGGCGGCCAUCUGGGACAACACUGACGCUGAGGCACGAAAGCGUGGGGAGCAAACAGG